AUACAGAGGGUGCAAACGUUGUUCGGAAUUACUGGGCAUAAAGGGCGCGUAGGCGGCCUGUUAAGUGUGGAGUGAAAUCCCACGGCUUACCCGUGGAACUGCUUUGCAAACUGGCAGGCUCGAGGACGGUAGGGGAGAGCGGAACUCUUGGAGGAGCGGUGAAAUGCGUAGAUAUCAAGAGGAACACCAAUGGCGAAGGCAGCUCUCUGGUCCGUAUCUGACGCUGAGGCGCGAAAGCCAGGGUAGCGAACGGGAUUAGAAACCCCAGUAGUCC
rnacentral:rRNA from 1 species